rnacentral:lncRNA from 1 species
GUGGGAAAUUCAAUUAUGCAUCCUACAUUUCUUUGAAAUUCUAAAACUAUCAUUGACACCUGUACCUAACGUUCAUUUCAAGUAUUUUGUUGAAGAAAUAACGUGGAAAGAGCUUCUUCGCUCAGUCGUGCUAUGUAAACGUACACGGAUUUUACGUAUCCGUUUAUGGUCCAUGUUUUACCAGUCAAGUCAACAUCCGGUUUUGAAAAAUGUGACUUUAAAAAGGAAAAUAAAGCUCUAGACAACGUCAAUUUGCACAAAUAAAAAGUCUUAUGCAGAUAUGAUCACGCUGAUGUGCACACCUUGAAUGAUGCAAUGCCAAUUUUAACAGUUUAUGACAGAACAUCAAAUUUUUAUCAAAGUAAAGUUUAAUAUCGUUUUUAAUCUAAUGUCAAUCAUUGGGAUGGCCAUCUGACUACCAUAAUUGCCUUUUGUGACUUAGUCUUGGGGAUUAAAAUUCGGAUCAGAUAUAAAAUGUCCGGCUGGCUCAGAAAAAUUUUGGAAGCCC